rnacentral:rRNA from 1 species
GACGAACGCUGGCGGCGUGCUUAACACAUGCAAGUCGAACGGAAAGGCCCUGCUUUUGUGGGGUGCUCGAGUGGCGAACGGGUUAGUAACACGUGAGUAACCUGCCCUUGACUUUGGGAUAACUUCAGGAAACUGGGGCUAAUACCGGAUAGGAGCUCCUGCUGCAUGGUGGGGGUUGGAAAGUUUCGGCGGUUGGGGAUGGACUCGCGGCUUAUCAGCUUGCUGGUGGGGUAGUGGCUUACCAAGGCUUUGACGGGUAGCCGGCCUGAGAGGGUGACCGGCCACAUUGGGACUGAGAUACGGCCCAGACUCCUACGGGAGGCAGCAGUGGGGAAUAUUGCACAAUGGGCGGAAGCCUGAUGCAGCAACGCCGCGUGCGGGAUGACGGCCUUCGGGUUGUAAACCGCUUUCGCCUGUGACGAAGCGUGAGUGACGGUAAUGGGUAAAGAAGCACCGGCUAACUACGUG